AGUUCCAUGGUGUAAUGGCUAGCACUCUGGAUUCUGACUCCAGCGAUCUAAAUUCAAAUCUCAGUGGAUUCA